AAGAAAGAUGUCUCUAAGAGAAGGCUAUCAGCUCUCAUUCUAGAAGCAUGAGGUCACGGGACCCAGAGACUGUUCGAGAUGCUCAGCAACAAAGUGAACAGGAUUCAUAGUGCAUCUAUUUAUGCAGCUAACAUGGUUACAAGUCUCAUGGCCUCAGCAAAGUUAACCACAGCCUUCAUUCUUGCUUUCUACUUCUGCCCUUCUGAUCUCUCAAAGGGUUGUUUGACUCUGAGAGCUGCCAGUUUAGCAGCCACAAAGACACACAGCAAUUCUUGUGGGAUCUAGCACACCAACACUUUCUGUCUGGGAAGCCCACAAUGAUAAAAGAAGAAGAAAAACCAAGUCCGGGGUCUGUCUUGGAAA